rnacentral:ncRNA from 2 species
CCUACACAUCUUGUUUCGGGUGCCCUGCAAAGGGUGAAACGGGAAACCGGUGACUCAUGCACACACGCAUGACAGUCCGGUGCUGCCCCCGCAACGGUAAGCGAGCGAAACGUCAUAUCCACUGUGCCAGCCGGCAUGGGAAGGCGACGUUUUCAGGCAUUGAGCCCCUCGCAAGCCCGGAGACCGGCCCGAAAAAAUCAGAUAAC